UACAGAGGUCUCAAGCGUUGUUCGGAUUCAUUGGGCGUAAAGGGUGCGUAGGCGGCGCGGUAAGUCGGGUGUGAAAUCUCGGGGCUUAACUCCGAAACUGCAUUCGAUACUGCCGUGCUUGAGGACUGGAGAGGAGACUGGAAUUUACGGUGUAGCGGUGAAAUGCGUAGAUAUCGUAAGGAAGACCAGAGGCGAAGGCGGCUACCUGGACAAUUGCUGACGCUCAGGCACGAAAGCGUGGGGAGCAAAAGGG
rnacentral:rRNA from 1 species